UGAGGCAGUGACAAGCUGUAACGGUUGAGUAUAAAAAUGACGAGUGUCUGGCAUUGCCGUCUAGGUUCGCUUAGGCUUGGCAUCAUUGCCGACGCUUCGUAUGCUCAAUUGGACUGCGGUGAGUUCAAUACACUCAGUACCAUUUGACGCGGUAGAAUUAAUACCUCUGCUGUGUUAAGUUAUCUGAACCCAUCAAGUAGAGGGCAAGUCUGGUGCCAGCAGCCGCGGUAAUACCAGCUCUACUGGCCUAUACAAUCAUUGUUGCGGUUAAGAGGCUCGUAGUUGGAUUGGACUAUUAUAUACGCGCUAAAUCUUACACACAUACACACACACAACGGCCGUAUCGAAUAGCAUAUUAAUAUGCAUAGUAUAUAUGACGUAACGUAAUUUUAUGACUUGAAUACGCACAUCUAAUACUAUACACGACACUUUACACACACAAUCACACCAGUAUCCAUUUAUACGGUCUCGACGGACGUUUACAAUAUGUAUCUAAUCAAUACAUAUCUUUUGCGUGUAAGCUUUGUACAAUUAUUCACUCAACCACUCGUGGUUAUGAAUAUGCGUAUGCGUGCACUUGAUUUUAGGAGCUUUGCGCUCAUAUUAUCUUGGUUAGAUGCAAGUAUCACUCGUUCACUGUGUACUGGCGUAUCGAUAUAUUCGUAUAUCCGAUUACUGCUGUAUCACUAUGAACAACAAACAAUGUGAUACGACGCACGCUUUAGGCACGCGCUUACUGCAGAAAUGUCUGAGACAUUCCCCUCCGGGGGUAGUAUGCACGCAAGUGUGAAACUUGAAGGAAUUGACGGAAGGGCACCACAAGAACGCGUGGAGCAUGUGGCUUAAUUUGACUCAACGCAGGAAAUCUUACCGGGUCCGGACACACUGAGGAUUGACAGAUAAUAACGGGUUGGCUGGUUCUUCUUGAACCGACCGACUCUUAAAAAUAUGAUAGCUCUUUCAUAAUCAUGUGAUAGGUGGUGCAUGGCCGUUCUUAGUUCGUGGAGUGAUCUGUCUGCUUAAUUGCGUUUUCAUUAUGGCUGACUAUAGUAUGUGUAUUUAUAUGCUCUCGCGGUAUGUAAAUCACGUCUGUCGGCUUUGAAAUGCAACGAACGUGACCGCAACCUCUUGUUGCACCUUAGCUGCUCAAGGUGCUCAACUAGAGGGACCGCUGUAUUUUUUCUUUUAGCCAGAGGAAGGAUGCGGCAAUAACAGGUCUGUGAUGCCCUCAGAUGUCCCGGGCUGCACACGUGCUACAAUGAUCAUUGCACUGCGCAUCUUCUUUUAUGUUUACACUGUCGUGUGCGAUGAGAUUCGCUUCACAGUGGUCGUAUCAAACACACAGUACACACACCCGUGUCGACAGGCUACUACACUCGGGUAACCCAUUAGAAGUAAUGAUUUCCAUAUGCACACAAUCAUACGUAUGAACGCUGAACACUCCGGUGUCUCAAUGUUCGUACGCAUGUGCGAUUGUCAAUUCAUGGUGGGGACAGACCAUUGAUAAUUGUUGGUCUCGGUCUCAACUAGGAAUGCCUUGUACGAGUCGGUUCACCAAACCACUCGGAAUACGUCCCUGCCCUUUGUACACACCGCCCGUCGCUCUUACCGAUGGACUUCGCUGUGAGUUUGAGGGACUGGCCUAGGCUAUAGAAACUUAAACGAACAGUGUGGUCUAAAGGAAGGAGAAGUCGAACAAGGCA
rnacentral:rRNA from 1 species